UUCCUGUGUCCAGCACCCCCUGAUUUUACCCUGCACCCCCCAUUUCUCUCCCUCCCCUCUGCCUCUCGCCCAAUUCAUUGUACCAAAGGAGAUUUUCUCCAUUGAGGCCCAGUCUCUUAGGUAACCCCAGCGCUGCAUGAAAUGAGGGUAGAGAGAGAGCGAGAGACAAGGAAUGAGUGAAAGAAGAGGGAGAGAGAGGCGAAAGAGGGCGGGGAAACCAAGAGGAAAUGUAAAGGCGGAGGGUGGGCCCGACAGAAAGGGUUGAAGAAGGAGAGGGAGAAGGAUGCAGGAUCAGAAGAGGCAAAAGCAGAGAGAGUGAAAGAUGGAGAAGUAGGACAAGUGCGGUCAGACGUCGACAGCGAUGCAGCUAAAAUUCGACCCRCAACRGAGGGAGGAUGGAAUGGAAGAGAGGAUGUCGGUCGCACAUGGUCUUAAUACCUGGCACUACAAGCCUCCUUUCCUUUAGAUCAGGAGAGUCCCCCAUGUUGGAAACAAGGUUAAAGUCUUUGAGGUGCAGCAAGAAGCUGAAUAGUUGAAUGUGUCCGGCUCACAC